AUGACACAUUGGGGUCGCAUGGCCCUGAUGUCAAAGAUUUAUCGCUGAAAGAUGGACCCGCGUCUGAUUAGCCAGUUGGCAGGGUAACGGCCUACCAAAGCGACGAUCAGUAGCCGACCUGAGAGGGUGACCGGCCACAUUGGGACUGAGACACGGCCCAAACUCCUACGGGAGGCAGCAGUGGGGAAUAUUGCACAAUGGGGGAAACCCUGAUGCAGCGACGCCGCGUGAGCGAAGAAGUAUUUCGGUAUGUAAAGCUCUAUCAGCAGGGAAGAAGAGUGACGGUACCUGACUAAGAAGCACCGGCUAAAUACGUGCCAGCAGCCGCGGUAAUACGUAUGGUGCAAGCGUUAUCCGGAUUUACUGGGUGUAAAGGGAGCGCAGGCGGUGCGGCAAGUCUGAUGUGAAAGCCCGGGGCUCAACCCCGGUACUGCAUUGGAAACUGUCGUACUAGAGUGUCGGAGGGGUAAGUGGAAUUCCUAGUGUAGCGGUGAAAUGCGUAGAUAUUAGGAGGAACACCAGUGGCGAA
rnacentral:rRNA from 1 species